CUUUCGGUAGCAGCUCAGCUGGAAGAGCAUGAAAUUAUGAAACAGAAAAUCUGUGAUAUCCCAAGGUUUCUGGUUCAAUUCCAGUCGGAAGGA